rnacentral:lncRNA from 1 species
GUCCUGAGCCGUUGCUCCAUCCCCCCACCCUCCUGCAUCCCCUUCUGUGCACCUGCAACCCCUGCCCCAGCAGACCAGCCCAGCAGUUCUCAGCUGAGCUGAGUGGCCGCGGCCACUGGGGGGCCCGCUGCCACUCGCCGUGCCCCCUCUGGAUGAGAGGAAAAUGGCACGGAGGUUGCGUGAAGUGUCAUCCGACCCACUUCUAAUCAUGGUGGGAUGACAGGGGCCAGAUUUCCCGUCCCACCUUUAGCCGCUGGAAAGCGUGUGAGGCUGCAAACUUCAAACACCACCCAGUAGGAGCGCACACGUGCGGGCGCUCCCCCAGCGCGUGCUCUCGGGGUGCAGCUGAGCCCGGGGAGUCUGGCCUACGGGACUCCACGAAGGCUGGAGUCUGUGCAGAAGAAUGCUGGAGCAGAUAGGGUUACGUGAAGAAGAAGCCGCAGAGAGCGAGCCUUGGUCUGCACGUGUGUGUGCGAAGGCGGAGUCUGGAAAGGGGCGCGCGUGGUGGUUCUCACAGGGCUGCGGCUCACGGUGUGUUCUCCGGGGCGAAUGGAAGGACCGCAGCACGCGGAGGCCGGGGCGCAUCCUCAGAGGCCAAGAGGAGGAACAGAUAUGAACCUGAGUUCCAGAGAAGCUGGAAAGUAUUUGAAAAAAAUAAUGGCUAACAUUUUUGCAAGUUUGAUGAAAACUGAUUUUCAAGACGAUCAGUCAAUCCCGAGCAGAAGAAACACGAAGGAAACCACACCCAUGCUUAUCAUAACCAAAUUUCUGGAACUCUCUAAAGCAGAUUUAAAAAGGGACCAGAGGCAAAAUCCUACAAUUUACAGAGGAGACAAGAUGACAUCAUGGUGGACGGCUCAUCAGAAGCGCUGCAAUCCAGAAGAUGAUGGGGGGGUAUCUUUAAAACACGGAAAGAAAAAAAGCUUCAACCUGUAAUUUCAUAGCCAGCAGAAUCUCUUUCCAAAGUGAAAGCUAAAUUAAGACUUUUUCAAACAUUCAAAAGCUGAAAAAAUUUAUCAGCCGACUUGAACUCUGGGAAGCACAGAGGCAGUCCUCUGGGGACAGGG